rnacentral:rRNA from 1 species
GGAGUUUGGUCCGUGUCUCAGUACCAAUGUGGGGGACCUUCCUCUCAGAACCCCUACUGAUCGUUGCCCCGGUGGGCCGUUACCCCGCCGGCAAGCUAAUCAGACGCAUCCCCAUCCCAUAGCGAUGAAUCUUUGCUUCAAAUCUGAUGUCAUCAUUGAAGAACAUAGGGAAUUAA